AUUGAACGCUGGCGGCGUGCUUUACACAUGCAAGUCGAACGGUAACAGGCCGCAAGGUGCUGACGAGUGGCGAACGGGUGAGUAAUGCAUCGGAACGUGCCCAGUCGUGGGGGAUAACGCAGCGAAAGCUGUGCUAAUACCGCAUACGAUCUAUGGAUGAAAGCGGGGGACCGUAAGGCCUCGCGCGAUUGGAGCGGCCGAUGUCAGAUUAGGUAGUUGGUGGGGUAAAGGCCCACCAAGCCGACGAGCUGUAGCUGGUCUGAGAGGACGACCAGCGACACUGGGACUGAGAAACGGCCCAGACUCCUACGGGAGGCAGCAGUGGGGAAUUUUGGACAAUGGGCGCAAGCCUGAUCCAGCAAUGCCGCGUGCAGGAUGAAGGCCUUCGGGUUGUAAACUGCUUUUGUACGGAACGAAAAGCCCUGGGUUAAUACCCCGAACUAAUGACGGUACCUGAAGAAUAAGCACCGGCUAACUACGUGCCAGCAGCCGCCGUAAUAC
rnacentral:rRNA from 1 species